GUAAGUCAGUACCAGUCGCUUCUGGGUCUGUCCCAGGAGUGAGGACAGCUGUGAACACAGGGUCAGCUGAUCAAGUCUGUCUUGCUCAUGGUAGUUUGACUUGCCAGCAGUCAUGCUGAGACUAGCUUGAGCCUGCACCUGUUAGAUAGUGGUAGAGAUAGGCCCAAGCUCAGUGGAGGCCAGGCCAGGCUAAGAGUGGGACUCUUUGGGACCUGUUCCUCUAAGCUGUCUUGGUUAGGUAUGGCUGAAUGGAAGAUGGAGGCUAGAGGGCUCUUCCGAAGCUCCAGGUAGACUGAAAAGUUCCUAGGUUCAGGUGAGAGACAGAUCUGGGGAGUCAGAACACAUAGGUCUUGAGAUAGGAGGCAAAGCUGCUAGGACCCUGAGGUGGAGGGGGCUUUUCUAACCCCUCAACAGCUGGUUAAUCAUUACUGAGGUCAGGGACUUGCUUCUCAAGGGGCAGGCUCUACUAGCUGCCCAAGAUCAAGGCUCCCCUGCCCUAAUCUUCUAGUGCUGAGGGUAGCUCUUGGGGACUGAACUAUGGAAGCUUGGGUUGGGUAGUGCGGAUGAUGUUUAGACUCUUUCUGGGUGGUAUUAGGGAUGUGAGCCCUAUGUGUUUAAAGGAGAGUUUCCAAUAGGACUGUGUUGGUGGAGUGUGGAGGCCGGAAGCCACACUAUGGCACCGGGGCAGAAAGGAAGAACUGAGACUGGCCCUCCCCUGCUUCCCAGUCUGUCCCACAUCCUAAGAUCACACCCCGGGGGACUCCUCUGUGCUCACCUGUUCCUUCCUGCAGCUUCCUCGACAGACAGGUUCUUGGACCCAGGUACCGACAUUCCAAGGGACACCAGCCAACCUGGGUGAGGGCCGCACUCUGUAUGUCUUCCCUUCCCUGGGGAAAGAGAUACCCAGAAGCACCCCCUUACAACCUGAGCACAUGAGCGAACCCCAUGAAAGUGGAAUUUUCUAACAAAAUAAACUUGCUCGUUUUGGUCUGUUUUCUGUAACUUUUGCUAAAUACUUUAUACAUUUUUAAUGUUGGAAAAAAAAAAAAAAGCAGUGUCUCCUGCCAGAACUCCUCACCCGGGAUGAAUGUGUUUACUUCUCGCUGUAUAUCUUUCCAUGCUGCGGCUGCCUGGACCAGUAAAUAAAAUGGAUGUAAUAUAAGUUGUAAGUAACAUUGUCAAAACUCAGAUCCCCAAUGGAGGCUGCCCGCCUCCCCCACCCCAUGAUAGCAUCUCUGUGUAUUAAUUCUGAAGAAUUAAAUGUUUAAAUUAGAGUUCGGAUGUUGAC
rnacentral:lncRNA from 1 species